GCGGGCGUGAUGUAGUGGUAGCCUGUCAGCCUUCCAAGCUGAAUGUGCGGGUUCGAUUCCCGCCGCCCGCUCCA
rnacentral:tRNA from 1 species